rnacentral:rRNA from 1 species
AAAAGAUUUAUCGGUAUGGGAUGGGCCUGCGUCUGAUUAGCUAGUUGGUGGGGUAACGGCUCACCAAGGCGACGAUCAGUAGCCGACCUGAGAGGGUGAUCGGCCACAUUGGAACUGAGACACGGUCCAAACUCCUACGGGAGGCAGCAGUGGGGNAUAUUGCACAAUGGAGGAAACUCUGAUGCAGCAACGCCGCGUGAGCGAUGAAGGCCUUUGGGUCGUAAAGCUCUGUCCUUGGGGAAGAAACAAAUGACGGUACCCUUGGAGGAA